CAUUCACGGAGAGUUUGAUCCUGGCUCAGGACGAACGCUGGCGGCGUGCUUAACACAUGCAAGUCGAACGAUGAACCACCUUCGGGUGGGGAUUAGUGGCGAACGGGUGAGUAACACGUGGGCAAUCUGCCCUGCACUCUGGGACAAGCCCUGGAAACGGGGUCUAAUACCGGAUACUGAACCGCUUGGGCAUCCAGGCGGUUCGAAAGCUCCGGCGGUGCAGGAUGAGCCCGCGGCCUAUCAGCUUGUUGGUGAGGUAACGGCUCACCAAGGCGACGACGGGUAGCCGGC
rnacentral:rRNA from 1 species